UCCGCUGCCCGCGACGUCACGAGAAGUCCGCUGAACCUUAUCAUUUAGAGGAAGGAGAAGUCGUAACAAGGUUUCCGUAGGUGAACCUGCGGAAGGAUCAUUGUCGAAACCUGCCCUGCGAUGAAACGACCCAAGAACGCAUGCGAACACCGCGGAGGCCUACCCCCUGGCUCACCGGACRGGCCCNGCCUAGGCCCRGAGGGCKCCAACUAACCCACCCCGAUGUGAAACASSCCAAGGAACACGCAACCGAGACGYGGCUCCGCGGUGCCAAACUAUGACCGACUMUCUGCAACGGACAUCUCAGCUUCCGCAUCGAUGAAAAARGUARCGAAAUGCSAUACAUGGUAAGAACUGCAGACUCCNGNGAACCNUCGNGUCUUUGGACGCAAGUUGCGCCCCAAGCCGCCAGGCCGAGGGCACGCCUGCUUGGGGGUCACGCACCGCCCCUCGCCAGCCCCCGCAGAGGCUGAAGCUGGCCUCCCGCGAGCUGUGCCGCGCGGCUGGCCCAAAAAUGAGCCUCGGGCACAAGCUGUUUCGACGAGCGGUGGUGGGGUCACAAUGCCCCGUGCUCGCAUCGGGCRGGCGCAUCCCGUCGCUCCCUCUGACCCUACGGGAGGGCGCAGCCCUCCCCCGAGACGCGACCCCAGGUCAGGCGGGACCACCCGCUGAGUUUAAGCAUAUCAAGAAGCGGAGGAGAAGACACU
rnacentral:misc_RNA from 1 species